GGUGGGGAUUAGUGGCGAACGGGUGAGUAACACGUGGGCAAUCUGCCCUGCACUCUGGGACAAGCCCUGGAAACGGGGUCUAAUACCGGAUAUUGACCUUCACGGGCAUCUGUGAGGUUCGAAAGCUCCGGCGGUGCAGGAUGAGCCCGCGGCCUAUCAGCUUGUUGGUGAGGUAAUGGCUCACCAAGGCGACGACGGGUAGCCGGCCUGAGAGGGCGACCGGCCACACUGGGACUGAGACACGGCCCAGACUCCUACGGGAGGCAGCAGUGGGGAAUAUUGCACAAUGGGCGAAAGCCUGAUGCAGCGACGCCGCGUGAGGGAUGACGGCCUUCGGGUUGUAAACCUCUUUCAGCAGGGAAGAAGCGAAAGUGACGGUACCUGCAGAAGAAGCGCCGGCUAACUACGUGCCAGCAGCCGCGGUAAUACGUAGGGCGCAAGCGUUGUCCGGAAUUAUUGGGCGUAAAGAGCUCGUAGGCGGCUUGUCACGUCGGUUGUGAAAGCCCGGGGCUUAACCCCGGGUCUGCAGUCGAUACGGGCAGGCUAGAGUUCGGUAGGGGAGAUCGGAAUUCCUGGUGUAGCGGUGAAAUGCGCAGAUAUCAGGAGGAACACCGGUGGCGAAGGCGGAUCUCUGGGCCGAUACUGACGCUGAGGAGCGAAAGCGUGGGGAGCGAACAGGAUUAGAUACCCUGGUAGUCCACGCCGUAAACGGUGGGCACUAGGUGUGGGCAACAUUCCACGUUGUCCGUGCCGCAGCUAACGCAUUAAGUGCCCCGCCUGGGGAGUACGGCCGCAAGGCUAAAACUCAAAGGAAUUGACGGGGG
rnacentral:rRNA from 1 species